GCGGACGUGGCGAAAUUGGUAGACGCGCCAGACUUAGGAUCUGGUAAGUUCUCUUGUGAGAGUUCGAGUCUCUCCGUCCGCA
rnacentral:tRNA from 2 species